CAAUAUUUAAGUUAUGGUUCACAAUGUCAAAAAUUUCACAAGAUUUCAAUGUAGUUUUGUGUGCAGUGUGAAUAUCAUUGUGGAACAUCUUUACAGGAGUGACACAUCUACUGAUGAAUUCAGUAAUUACAGUGAAUGGAGUCUUGAUAGCUAUGGCAGUCCCGAGUAUCCUGAAGUUACACAGCUCAACUUGGUGAAAAGUGAGUAUCCAGUCAACCUUCAAUGAUUAAAGUUGGUAUGCAAACACCAGUUUGCAAAAAUACCAAUACAUCAUUCUAGUAUUAUCAGCAGCAGCACAUUUACAAGAUUCCAGAAGCACUGUGCAGCCCCUGUGGAUAAGGAGAAUUGGGAUGAAAUGAAUUCUUUGAUAACUGCUAUUCUUUAACAGUAUGGUGACUUGUGUUUGUGUGGUGAUGGUAGGAAUGACUCUCCAGGACAUAGCACAAGAUAUUGUGUCUACACGCUAAUGGAGCAUGCCAGCAAAGUACUUGUGGACAUGGCAGUUGUUGACAAAAGGGAGACGGGGUAACUCUGUUAUCAUAGAGAAAGAAGGUUUGAGAUGACUUCUUCAGAAGAUAGCUAGUGUCCUUCCCUUCAGUGAACUUGCAACAGAUACUUCUUCAUCAAUUAUGAAGCUUGUCCAUGAUACGAAAGGUAUGCUUAUGUUGUUUGCAUAUUUUCAUCUAGAGCAUCUCAUCACCCAAGUCUUAAAUCCCUUUAUUCUCAGUGUUUGGGAAUGGCUUCCCUUAGUGGUGUUGAGUCUAAAUACAUGUAUUAAAAGUUCUUUGAGAACCUGGCAGCUGAUCAAUAGUUUGUAUAUUAUAUAGUAAACAGUUAUGUUCAUCAAGGAAGUAAAGAAACCUGGAUUUGUUCACCAACAGUUGUUGAGGUUGUGCCUUGAGAAUUAUAACUACUGAUAAAACAGCAAUCAGAGAGAACUUCAUAGUCAACACGCCCUUUGCACGAUGCAGUCACAUGUUACGGAAUUAAUUAUGCUGAGACACAACUUACACAGUGGGACUUCCAAAACAAAGGAACUCAUACCAGUCCAGCCCGAGUUUCCUUUCUUUUGAAAGUCCCACUGAGUGUGUAACUUGCAUCCCACCAUAAUGAAUUCCGUACCAUGUGACCGAAUAGUGCAAAGGGCUUAUUAGCUAAUAAUAGCUGCUUUUGUUUUGCUAGAAAAAUUUCCACAUCUGUUGGAACUCUUUCACUCUCUUCAGUUGAUAUUUGGCACAAGGCAAAGAAGCUGAGCAAGUGCAGGUUUUGUCAAUGCCAUUUACAUCUUGCACAUAUGAUCUAGUUUCCCAAACAAAACAAUGUUUCUAGUUGUCUUUGUGCUGAGUAAGUUGGCCACCCUACUUUGUUUCUUUGAGCUAAAUUGCCUCUGUUUUUGUUUUCUUUUUUUUCGUAACAGGCUGCUCCCAUCAGAAGAUGAAAGCCUUUGAAAGACUAGAUUGAUGACAAUGUCAACCACUUCUGGUUCUGCUGUCAAAGUUGUGACAGAAGUGUAGAUGAACUGAAGAUUGGAAACAAUAUUCCCUUUUAUUGAAUAUUGUGCUCAACAGGAGUGCCUUUGUUGCAUGAUCUACACAAAGCAGUUUUGCUGUACAAAUUUUUUCCUAUGAGAACACGAAUAGACUAAAGGAGCCUCCCACCAUUCCCCUGAUGAAACAGGAACUUCAGGAAAGACAUAUUUGGCAAAGUCUUCGAAAGCUGUAACAACUCUCAGGGAUGUUGUUUUAGAUGAGAAGUAGUUCAACAACUUGGAGUUUUAUCUUCAGUUCAGGCAUACAAGUCUCCUGGAGAGUUACAAUAGCAUGCUCACCAAAUAUGCCCCAAAGCGUAUGGCAUUCAAAUAUCCCUAC